rnacentral:rRNA from 1 species
UACAGAGACUGCAAGCGUUAUUCGGAUUCACUGGGCGUAAAGGGUGCGCAGGCGGUUUUGUGUGUCAGGUGUGAAAGCCCGGGGCUUAACCCCGGAAUUGCGCCUGAAACUACAUGACUAGAGCAUUGGAGAGGGUAGCGGAAUUCACGGUGUAGCAGUGAAAUGCGUAGAUAUCGUGAGGAACACCAGAGGCGAAGGCGGCUACCUGGACAAUUGCUGACGCUCAGGCACGAAAGCGUGGGGAGCAAAAGGG